UGAGAACCACCAGUUUAGCAAAAGCUGUAAGGGAUAAAGGCAAUCAAGUGACAGAUAAUGUCACAAAUUCAUGCCCAGAAGAGCUUUCGAGUUCACAUGCAGAAGAAUCUGGAGUUCUUCAUGAUACAUGCGGUGCUGAAUCAGAUCUUCAGAUGCAUCCUUUACUGUUCCAGGCCCCUGAAGAUGGCCGUCUAUCAUAUUUUCCAC
rnacentral:misc_RNA from 1 species